AGGAAGAAAGCUUGCUUUCUUUGCUGGCGACCGGCGCACGGGUGAGUAACACGUAUCCAACCUGCCCUUUACUCGGGGAUAGCCUUUCGAAAGAAAGAUUAAUACCCGAUAGCAUAAUGAUUCCGCAUGGUUUCAUUAUUAAAGGAUUCCGGUAAAGGAUGGGGAUGCGUUCCAUUAGGUUGUUGGUGAGGUAACGGCUCACCAAGCCUUCGAUGGAUAGGGGUUCUGAGAGGAAGGUCCCCCACAUUGGAACUGAGACACGGUCCAAACUCCUACGGGAGGCAGCAGUGAGGAAUAUUGGUCAAUGGGCGUUAGCCUGAACCAGCCAAGUAGCGUGAAGGAUGAAGG
rnacentral:rRNA from 1 species